GUGAGUAUGAAUGAUGGAUGGAUGUGUUGAUAUGGAUAUGAUCUGUUGUCCUCCACAAAUUGUUUUUUUUUUUUUAAUUUAAAGGGACCCCAGGAAGAAUAGCCACUGUUACAGUACAGCAGCUAAUGGGUAUCUAACUAAAUAAAUAAAUAAAACCCUGUAAGUCGGUCAGGACUGUGGCUGCAUGUUGUUUCCUGUCGGAGCGCAACACAGCUAGAGCUAUGUGCCGUUUCCCAACACCCCCAGAGCAGCUAAACAAUUCAUGAAUCCUGACUGUGACGUUGAGGGACACAGUUUCUGUCGAGUUGUUGGUGUUUAAAUCCCGAUAAAAUCUGCGAGGAAUCUGUGAUGACGAGUUGAGCCCGAGGAACGGCGCGGCCAACCGUAAGACCAGUCCAUAGACGACACUAGACCAGCUUGAUCAAUUCACACGGACCCCAGAUAAGAACACAUGCACAAUAUUAACCCAGGUAAUUCUUUUUUCUUUUCUUUUUUCUUUUCUCUCGCCCCUCCCUCCAUGUCAAGGUCACGCUGGUCAGUGAGCGCUGCGAAGUUCAGAGGCCGGCCACCUCUCCACACACUCCGGUCAUCUCCGCUCACCAGAACACACCCGCCCAGGGGAGCGCCUACAGUACAGAGCACCGGCCCGUCUGUGCCUCUGGGGCCCCGUCGAAGCCGGGGCUCUGGGUGUUAAGUGACACUGGAUUGAAUUAGCAAAUAAAAUGGACGGGCUGAAGCAGGGUAAUUUAGCAUGUCAGGGCAAAUCAAAUUAUCCCUGAGGUGCAGAUGGCAGUGUAUCCAUUACUACCGCUGAACUGGUGGCGCAGGCUGCUGUUUAUCUUUAGAAAUCUCAGUUUCCUUCUCUUUGCUUGGUUUAGGAGGGAGCAUGUUAAAUAGUGACGAUAAAUUAAAUCACAGGAUUACUACAGAGGUAUUUAAGACACUGAGGGAAGGCGAGGCGGAGAGUUUCUGUGUUUCUACAGACUGCUGUUAUUCAGCCUGCAGAUCAGGUAGGGACAGAUUCAGCAACAGUGAGACAGGCACAAACAAGACUCUACAGCUGUGUUAGCAUCACUGUUUUUACAUCCACCGGUUUUUAUGCACAUUUUCAAUUUGCGGUAAAAAAACAAACAAACAGUGGAAACUGUGGAGAGGAAAAACUGAACACUGGAUGAGAAAAAACAAGUUUUCACGUAUGGAGGAUGUGAAAAAGUUGGUGUUAUUAAUAAAAGCAAAAUGCAACAAAGUGCUGAAACGUACGGUGGCCCUGUUGUCAAUUCAAAUACACUCACAACACAAACAAAUACAGAAAAGUGCACAGACGGAAGUGUUCGCAUGGACCCGGCUGGAACACAUGUUGUUCGAUGCUUUUUAACUUCAAAAUUAUUUUGUGUUGUGAGUAUUUGCAGCGUUCUGCGUUGAGCCCUUAGGGUUGAUGUAAAAAUGUGAACAGACUUGAAAAACAAAUCGUGAUGUAGAUGAAUCAUGUGACUUGAUGAGAAAGGCUGCAACUUUCCUCAAAUUAGGAAAUGAAACAAACAGAAAGAGAUAACAGCAGUGGAGGGAAACAUUUUCUCUUACUGAUUUUCUGCAAACUCAGUUCAAAUUUGUGCUUUAAGCUACAUGCUAAUAUGCUCAGAAUGACAAUGCUAACAUACUGGUGUUAAAAAGGAAUAAUGUUGACCACGUCUUUGUUUAGCAUCUUAGCAUGCUAACAUAUGCUAAUCGGCACAGCAGCUGAAGGUGAUGGGAAGUUAUUAGUUCUGCAGGUAUUUUGUUUCACUUAAUGUUUGUGCUUUCACUCUUGUAUGUGCUUUGUCCUCGGGGGCACCAUACUCCGGGGACCAUGAAUGUCCGUAUGAAAUUUAAACUCGUGUCAAACCAUCUAAUACUUGUUGAGAUAUCAAAGUAGUUUGAACCAAGGUACACCAGGUACAUGGAGCCGUGUCACUAGCUGGGCUGAAACUGUUGUUAUUACAACUGUUUCAAACUGAAAAAUGUAACUGAGGAAAAGAGUAAAAGCAAAAUGUUGGUACAGUAAAUUCCAUUUUUUUGUGCCCUCUGCAGGCGUCUUCCUCAGAUGAUACAUCAGCCUCUCGCCCAUCCCCUUACACAAAUAUUUAAGUUCCCCUGAUACAUCUAAUAAAACAGUUUAGAGUGCUUCCUCAGUGUUUCACCUCAGAGGAAGGACGUAAACUAUAUCACAGCGCGAGAACGAGAGGAAGCGAGGCGUAAAGAGAGAUUGAAUGUCCACGUACACCUUAUGUAAAUAUUUGGGACGUCUGCAGAUUCUGGGUAACCUUUCCUGUCUUGAGAAAGAUUAACAGUUUCCUGUGAUACGUGCUCUGCCUCACCUUCCCAAUAAAUAGUGUCUCAUUUGCUGUCGUUAUCUCCGCUCUGUGUAUCUGCCUGUCCUUGUUAAAUAGUAUAAUUUAAAAAAAUAAAUAAAAUGCUUUCAGACUGUUGAAGGAAAUGUUUUCGUAUCUGCUUUUAAGAUACAUAUAUCCAUGUCAUGUCAGAGAGGUUUGAGAGCGCAGGAGAGGAUAUAUAACAACUUGUAAAAUCAAUGUGUCCUGCUCUUCUGCUGCACACGUGUCUGCCUCCGUCUCUGCUGCCGAGUCUUACAUAAGUGGCAUCACUGAAUUAAUAUUUAAGGUUUGUUUUGGGGAUGUGCUCCUUGUUUUUGUUUUUUUUGUUGUUGUUUUUGUGUUUUUUUUUGUUUUGAUGCUUGGCUUUCUCCAGUGAUGAUAUUUCAAUUG